GUAACUCUGGGUCUUCCUUUCCUGUGGUGGUCCUCAUGAGAGACAGGUAACUCUGGGUCUUCCUUUCCUGUGGUGGUCCUCAUGAGAGACAGGUAACUCUGGGUCUUCCUUUCCUGUGGUGGUCCUCAUGAGAGACAGGUAACUCUGGGUCUUCCUUUCCUGUGGUGGUCCUCAUGAGAGACAGGUAACUCUGGGUCUUCCUUUCCUGUGGUGGUCCUCAUGAGAGACAGGUAACUCUGGGUCUUCCUUUCCUGUGGUGGUCCUCAUGAGAGACAGGUAACU